GACGUAGGGCGCGAGCGUUGUCCGGAUUUAUUGGGCGUAAAGAGCUCGUAGGCGGCUUGUCGCGUCGACCGUGAAAACUUGGGGCUCAACCCCAAGCCUGCGGUCGAUACGGGCAGGCUAGAGUUCGGUAGGGGAAACUGGAAUUCCUGGUGUAGCGGUGAAAUGCGCAGAUAUCAGGAGGAACACCGGUGGCGAAGGCGGAUCUCUGGGCCAUUACUGACGCUGAGGAGCGAAAGCGUGGGGAGCGAACAGG
rnacentral:rRNA from 1 species